rnacentral:rRNA from 1 species
CCUACGGGAGGCAGCAGUGGGGAAUAUUGGACAAUGGGCGGAAGCCUGAUCCAGCAACGCCGCGUGAGGGAUGACGGCCUUCGGGUUGUAAACCUCUUUCACCUGUGACGAAGCGAAAGUGACGGUAGCAGGAGAAGAAGCACCGGCCAACUACGUGCCAGCAGCCGCGGUAAUACGUAGGGUGCGAGCGUUGUCCGGAAUUAUUGGGCGUAAAGGGCUCGUAGGCGGUUUGUCGCGUCGGGAGUGAAAAUCCAGGGCUUAACUCUGGACUGGCUUUCGAUACGGGCAGACUAGGGGUAUGCAGGGGAGAACGGAAUUCCUGGUGUAGCGGUGAAAUGCGCAGAUAUCAGGAGGAACACCGGUGGCGAAGGCGGUUCUCUGGGCAUUACCUGACGCUGAGGAGCGAAAGUGUGGGGAGCGAACAGGAUUAGAUACCCUGGUAGUCCACACCGUAAACGUUGGGCGCUAGGUGUGGGGUCCAUUCCACGGAUUCCGUGCCGCAGCUAACGCAUUAAGCGCCCCGCCUGGGGAGUACGGCCGCAAGGCUAAAACUCAAAAGAGUAAGUACGGACGUCGAGACGUACGCGACGGACGACACCGAGGGAGGAAGG